rnacentral:rRNA from 1 species
AUCCAGACUCCUACGGGAGGCAGCAGUGGGGAAUAUUGGACAAUGGGGGGAACCCUGAUCCAGCGACGCCGCGUGAGUGAAGAAGUAUUUCGGUAUGUAAAGCUCUAUCAGCAGGGAAGAAAGAAAAGACGGUACCUGACUAAGAAGCCCCGGCUAACUACGUGCCAGCAGCCGCGGUAAUACGUAGGGGGCAAGCGUUAUCCGGAUUUACUGGGUGUAAAGGGAGCGUAGACGGCGAUGCAAGUCAGAUGUGAAAUCCGGGGGCUCAACCCCCGAACUGCAUUUGAAACUGUUGGUCUUGAGUAUCGGAGAGGCAGGCGGAAUUCCUAGUGUAGCGGUGAAAUGCGUAGAUAUUAGGAGGAACACCAGUGGCGAAGGCGGCCUGCUGGACGACAACUGACGGUGAGGCGCGAAAGCGUGGGGAGCAAACAGGAUUAGAUACCCUGGUA